CAAGUACUAAAUUUUUUACUUGAAUUAUUGACAUAAAAUAACUGCUUAUAAACCAAGAAGAAUUUUUUGCGUGGUAAAAAUCGUAUUAUUAAAAUUUGUGCAAAGGGAUAAAUUUU
rnacentral:ncRNA from 1 species